ensembl:lncRNA
ACAGCACCCAACAGGUGGACCUUGAAGGAGGAGAGGUGGCUGGCCAUGGCCACUGCCAGGCAGAGGAGCAGGCGGGUGACAGAGAGGACAUGACCGGGCGGAGGGACAGACUGAGCAGGAGCAGGAGAGUGUAGCUGAAGCAGUGAGCAUGGAGUAGCUUCAUGAUUAACAGGGACCCGUAGGGAGAUAAGUGUGUCUCACACCAAACUGCUGGGAAAGCCUCCAUUUGUCUGGCUGACACACGCCCCUAUGUUUGUUUGCUCUCGCCUCCGAGACGCCGCUGACAGUAUUGAGCCGUGUCGACGGGCGUUCCCCCCUCCGUUCACGCCUCAUGCAUCCAUCACUCUAGCGCACACACACAGGCACCCACACACACAGGCACGCAGAGGCACACACACACAGGCACACAGAGGCACACACACACACACACACACACACACACACACACAGGCACGCAGAGGCACACACACACACACACACACUGAGUGGACCUGUUAUAGUCACGGGUAUAGAUUAUCAACAUACUGACAAUAAGAGAAAAAGAAAAGGAAAGACACAGAGGUAGAAAAGGAAAGACACACACACACAUACACACACCAUGAGAACUAUAGUAACACUUCAAACACUGAGCUGAAACCUGUACUCCCAAACGUC